GACAGAGGUCCCGAGCGUUAGGCGGAAUCACUGGGCUUAAAGCGUGUGUAGGCGGCGGCCUAAGUACCUUGUGAAAUCCCACGGCUCACCCGUGGAACUGCUCGGUAUACUGGGUCGCUUGAGCCACUUAGGGGCUACCGGAACAAAUGGUGGAGCGGUGAAAUGCGUAGAUAUCAGGAGGAACACCGGUGGUGUAGACGGCUUUCUGGACCGUAACUGACGCUGAGACACGAAAGCGUGGGUAGCAAACAGG
rnacentral:rRNA from 1 species